UGCUGGGCACGCCUCUCUCUAAAGGCCUGGCCUGGCACAGCUAACACAAGAGACCCAGCCCAUCUGGAAUCUGAGCGGAGUCCUAGUAUGGCUAAGGUUAUAGCAAAUGGGCAACUUGGCCUGGCAAAGAGAAGCAGCUUGUGGCUGCAGGAGAGGAAGAAAUGGAAAUGUUUCCAUUAUAAUUAAAUUUGCAAAGCAGCCAAGAAAGGGAAAUAGUGUACUAUGAACGGCACCAUGAAUAUGAACUGACUGACCGUGUACCAGACGAUAUCAGACACAGUUUGUCAAUAGUUUUCAGAAUGUACUAACUGAUUCGUCGGCAAAAGAGCUCAGUACAGGAUUGGGUAGUUAUUCGGAUUCACAACCGAGCUAAUGAACUUUUGUUUCCGGAAGAUACAAGCGUGUAGACAGAAAAAAAAGAAGAGCGUAAAACGGAGUCCAUUUUUGUGUUUCACCGGAACAACAGACAAACAACAACCCCUAACAUUCCAAACUGUGCUCUCAUCUAAUGAAAACACUCGACCCCAUAGCGCAUUUAAAACCUAGCACAUAAGAGGACGUUGCAUGGAAGAAGGGAUGGGAGACAGGAGGCUAGAAGAGGUAUACAAUUAAAAAGAAGGUUUGUUGCCCCAAAGCAGCUUCUUUAUUUUGAAAAAAAGUAAUGAAAAGAUUUUGUGGCGUCCUGCUGCUUUAGAAAAGGCACGGGCUUUGUGCACUGAGGAGGAAGGGGGGC